AAUAUUUGUAGUUCCUCUAAUGGUUGGAAAGAUGUUCAGUCUAGAUAGUUGAAAAAUAAGUUGGAAUAUGUUGUCAGAUGGAGAAGGAAAAUCCACACAUUGACAGAUUUAACUACACAGGUUAAAAUGAAAAAUCCACACAUUGACAGAUUUAACUCCACGGGUUAAAUGAAAAAUCCACACAUUCACAAAUUUAACUCCAUGGGUUAAAUUUUAGUAUGAAAGUAUAGAACCUAAAAUGAUGACAGGGAAAAAAUAGAAGGUAAAAGUAUAACAAAACUGACAACAAUAUAACAGUCCGCUAAUAUAAAAU
rnacentral:lncRNA from 1 species